rnacentral:lncRNA from 1 species
CAGGUCAAAAGCUGAAGUGUCGUCUGCAGGGAUUUUCUUCAUUGAGGACAGAAAAGAGAAAAGCUUGCCCCUUAAGUGUGUUUUCUACGGCCAUUCUGCCCAGGCUUGUUCACAGCAGGCUCCAGAGCUCGUACAGAGGAAUAAAGGAAAUGAUCACAUCAAUUCAGCAGUCUUCAGAGAGGAAAAGUUGCCAGCUCUGCUGGGGUUCCUGAGUGAAUAUUCUUCUGUGAAAG